UACAGAGGCCUCGAGCGUUAGGCGGAAUCACUGGGCUUAAAGCGUGUGUAGGCGGGCCCGUAAGUGUCUUGUGAAAUCCCACGGCUCAACCGUGGAACUGCUGGGCAUACUGCGGGUCUUGGGCCAACUAGGGGCAGCCGGAACAAGCGGUGGAGCGGUGAAAUGCGUAGAUAUCGCUUGGAACGCCGAAGGUGAAAACAGGCUGCUGGGGUUGCGCCGACGCUGAGACACGAAAGCCAGGGGAGCAAACGGG
rnacentral:rRNA from 1 species